UACGGGGGGAGCAAGCGUUGUUCGGAUUUACUGGGCGUAAAGGGCGCGUAGGCGGCCACCGCAAGUCGACUGUGAAAUCUCCGGGCUUAACCCGGAAAGGUCAGCCGAUACUGCGGGGCUAGAGUGCAGAAGGGGCAACUGGAAUUCUCGGUGUAGCGGUGAAAUGCGUAGAUAUCGAGAGGAACACCUGCGGCGAAGGCGGGUUGCUGGGCUGACACUGACGCUGAUGCGCGAAAGCGUAGGGGAGCGAACGGG
rnacentral:rRNA from 1 species